rnacentral:rRNA from 1 species
CGCUGGCGGCGUGCCUAACACAUGCAAGUCGAGCGAGGAGAUUCCUCGGGAUGAUCCUAGCGGCGGACGGGUGAGUAACACGUGGGCAACCUGCCUCAUAGAGAGGAAUAGCCUUCCGAAAGGGAGAUUAAUACCUCAUAACAUUGCAGUUUCGCAUGGAACAGCAAUUAAAGGAGUAAUCCGCUAUGAGAUGGGCCCGCGGCGCAUUAGCUAGUUGGUGAGGUAACGGCUCACCAAGGCGACGAUGCGUAACCGACCUGAGAGGGUGAUCGGCCACAUUGGGACUGAGACACGGCCCAGACUCCUACGGGAGGCAGCAGUGGGGAAUAUUGCACAAUGGGGGAAACCCUGAUGCAAGCAACGCCGCGUGAGUGAUGACGGCCUUCGGGUUGUAAAGCUCUGUCUUCAGGGACGAUAAUGACGGUACCUGAGGAGGAAGCCACGGCUAACUACGUGCCAGCAGCCGC